UGAAAGAGUAUAAGCGGUCGGGAUCUUAAAGAAGAUCUUGGGCAUUGCUCCAGCA
rfam:Gluconobacter oxydans H24, complete genome.